GCCUGUUUAGCUCAGCUGGCAGAGCGUCGCUCUCGUAAAGCGAAGGUCGUGAGUUCAAUUCUCAUAGUAGGAA
rfam:Phycomyces blakesleeanus NRRL 1555(-) unplaced genomic scaffold PHYBLscaffold_5, whole genome shotgun sequence.